rnacentral:rRNA from 1 species
GGGAGGUAGUGACAAUAAAUCACAAUGCGGAACUUUUAGUUUUGCAAUUGGAUUGAGAACAAUGUACAAAUGUUAUCGAUAAACAAUUGGAGGGCAAGUCUGGUGCCAGCAGCCGCGGUAAUUCCAGCUCCAAUAGCGUAUAUUAACGUUGUUGCAGUUAAAAAGCUCGUAGUUGAAAUGUGGGAUGAAGUAUAUAAUGAAUUUCUAAUUCAAUUGUAUAUUGAUUCCCCUCUCCAAUUUAUUAUUAUGGGUAUUAAUUUAUUUGUAAUAAGAAUUGGUCAUUUACUGUGAGAAAAUUAGAGUGUUCAAAGCAGGCAUUUGCUUGAAUAGAUUAGCAUGGAAUAAUACUAAAAGGCUUUUAUGGUCGAUUUAAUUGGUUUGUUCAUAAAAGCAAGAUUAAAAGGAACAGUUGGGGGUAUUCAUAUUCAAUAGUUAGAGGUGAAAUUCUCGGAUUUAUGGAAGAUGAACAAGUGCGAAAGCA